rnacentral:rRNA from 1 species
GGCUUUUUGAUUUAAUUUAAAGUCUGGCCUGCCCAAUGAUUAUUUGAAUGGCCGCGGUAUUUUGACCGUGCUAAGGUAGCAUAAUCAUUAGUUUUUUAAUUGAAGACUGGAAUGAAAGGUUUGAUGAGAAAAUUUCUGUCUCUUAAUAAUUAUAUUGAAAUUUAUUUUUAAGUUAAAAAGCUUAAAUUUAAUUGAAAGACGAUAAGACCCUAUAGAGUUUUAUUAAAUUUUUAAUUUUAUAUUUUAGUAUAAAUUUUAUUUAAUUAUAAAUUUAAUUUGAUUGGGGUGAUUAGAAAAUUAAUAUAACUUUUCUUUAACUUAACAAUAAUACUUGGUUAUAUGAUCCAUAAAUUAUGAUUACAAUAUUAAAUUACCUUAGGGAUAACAGCGUAAUUUUUCUUGAGAGUUCUUAUCGAAAGAGGAGAUUGCGACCUCGAUGUUGGAUUAAGAUAAAAUUUUGGUGCAGAAGCUAAAAUAUUAAGUCUGUUCGACUUUUUAAAUCUUACA